rnacentral:rRNA from 1 species
AUUGAACGCUGGCGGCAUGCCUUACACAUGCAAGUCGAACGGCAGCACGGACUUCGGUCUGGUGGCGAGUGGCGAACGGGUGAGUAAUGCAUCGGAACGUACCCGGUAGUGGGGGAUAACUACCCGAAAGGGUGGCUAAUACCGCAUAUACUGUGCGCAGGAAAGCAGGGGACCUUCGGGCCUUGUGCUACCGGAGCGGCCGAUGUCAGAUUAGGUAGUUGGUGGGGGAACGGCCUACCAAGCCUGCGAUCUGUAGCGGGUCUGAGAGGAUGAUCCGCCACACUGGGACUGAGACACGGCCCAGACUCCUACGGGAGGCAGCAGUGGGGAAUUUUGGACAAUGGGCGCAAGCCUGAUCCAGCCAUGCCGCGUGAGUGAAGAGGGCCUUCGGGUUGUAAAGCUCUUUCGGACGGAAAGAAAUCGCGCAGGCUAAUAUCCUGUGCGGAUGACGGUACCGUCAUAAGAAGCACCGGCUAACUACGUGCCAGCCGCCGCCGUAA